rnacentral:rRNA from 1 species
UUAUGGCUCAGGAUGAACGCUAGCGACAGGCUAACACAUGCAAGUCGAGGGGCAGCACGGGAGUAGCAAUACAACUGGUGGCGACCGGCGCACGGGUGAGUAACGCGUAUGCAACCUACCUAUCAGAGGGAAUAACCCGGCGAAAGUCGGACUAAUACCGCAUAAAACAGGGGCACCGCAUGGUGAUAUUUGUUAAAGAAAUUCGCUGAUAGAUGGGCAUGCGUUCCAUUAGGUAGUUGGUGAGGUAACGGCUCACCAAGCCGACGAUGGAUAGGGGAACUGAGAGGUUGGUCCCCCACACUGGUACUGAGACACGGACCAGACUCCUACGGGAGGCAGCAGUGAGGAAUAUUGGUCAAUGGGCGGGAGCCUGAACCAGCCAAGUCGCCGUGAAGGAAGAAGGAUCUAUGGUUCGUAAACUUCUUUUGCAGGGGAAUAAAGUGCGGGACGUGUCCUGUUUUGUAUGUACCCUGAGAAUAAGGAUCGGCUAACUCCGUGCCAGCAGCUGC